UACAGAGGUGGCAAGCGUUGUUCGGAAUUACUGGGCGUAAAGGGCGCGUAGGCGGCCCCACUAAGUCAGACGUGAAAUCCCCCCGCUUAACUGGGAGGGUGCGCCGAAGACUGGAAGGCUUGAGUAUGGGAGAGGUAAGCGGAAUUCCUGGUGUAGCGGUGAAAUGCGUAGAUAUUCGGAAGAACACCAGUGGCGAAGGCGGCCUUCUGGACGGAUACUGACGCUGAGACGCGAAAGCUAGGGGAGCAAACAGG
rnacentral:rRNA from 1 species